GAUGAACGCUGGCGGCGUGCCUAAUACAUGCAAGUCGAGCGAACAGACGAGGAGCUUGCUCCUCUGACGUUAGCGGCGGACGGGUGAGUAACACGUGGAUAACCUACCUAUAAGACUGGGAUAACUUCGGGAAACCGGAGCUAAUACCGGAUAAUAUAUUGAACCGCAUGGUUCAAUAGUGAAAGACGGAUUUGCUGUCACUUAUAGAUGGAUCCGCGCCGCAUUAGCUAGUUGGUAAGGUAACGGCUUACCAAGGCGACGAUGCGUAGCCGACCUGAGAGGGUGAUCGGCCACACUGGAACUGAGACACGGUCCAGACUCCUACGGGAGGCAGCAGUAGGGAAUCUUCCGCAAAGGGCGAAAGCCUGACGGAGCAACGCCGCGUGAGUGAUGAAGGUCUUCGGAUCGUAAAACUCUGUUAUUAGGGAAGAACAAAUGUGUAAGUAACUAUGCACGUCUUGACGGUACCUAAUCAGAAAGCCACGGCUAACUACGUG
rnacentral:rRNA from 1 species